rnacentral:tRNA from 2 species
UCCUGGUUAGCUCAGUUGGUAGAGGGCUUUACUGAAAAUGAAGAAGUCCAUGGUUUGACGCCAGGACCAGGCA